rnacentral:rRNA from 1 species
CACGAACGCUGGCGGCAGGCUUAACACAUGCAAGUCGAACGCACCGCAAGGUGAGUGGCAGACGGGUGAGUAACACGUGGGGAUCUGCCCAAUGGUACGGAAUAGCUCCGGGAAACUGGAAUUAAUACCGUAUACGCCCUGAGGGGGAAAGAUUUAUCGCUAUAAGAUUAGCCCGCGUCAGAUUAGCUAGUUGGUGGGGUAAUGGCCUACCAAGGCAACGAUCUGUAGCCGGGCUGAGAGGAUGAUCAGCCACAUUGGGACUGAGAUACGGCCCAAACUCCUACGGGAGGCAGCAGUAGGGAAUAUUGGACAAUGGACGAAAGUCUGAUCCAGCAAUGCCGCGUGAGUGAUGAAGGCCUUAGGGUUGUAAAGCUCUUUUAGUGGGGAAGAUAAUGACGGUACCCACAGAAAAAGCACCGGCUAACUUCGUGCCAGCCGCCGCAGUAAAAC